GACUGAGUCAUCAUAUUAUGAAUGAAAAUUUUAAUAGUAGAUGAGCACCAUGCUUUUGGACCAUCUAAUGAUCAUCUAAUUAUUGAACCCAUUAUCAUCCAACUUGAUGGGAGGCUAUGAUCUAAUUAUCUCAAUAACUAUUUUAUUUUUAGAGAUCUAAUAAUUUUAAAAAAUUUAAUUAAUUGACUUGAUAGAUAAGAAUAGACUCAAUUCUUUAUUCUUAAUCCUUCCAC
rnacentral:lncRNA from 1 species